rnacentral:rRNA from 1 species
UUGCUCUUCAACGAGGAAUCCCUAGUAAGCGCAAGUCAUCAGCUUGCGUUGAUUACGUCCCUGCCCUUUGUACACACCGCCCGUCGCUACUACCGAUUGAAUGGCUCAGUGAGGCGUCCGGACUGGCCCAGAGAGGUGGGCAACUACCACUCAGGGCCGGAAAGCUCUCCAAACUCGGUCAUUUAGAGGAAGUAAAAGUCGUAACAAGGUCUCCGUUGGUGAACCAGCGGAGGGAUCAUUACCGAGUUUACAACUCCCAAACCCCUGUGAACAUACCUAUCGUUGCUUCGGCGGGAUGCCCCAGUUUUGACUUAAAACUGGACCCAGGCGCCCGCCGGAGGACCCAAACUCUUGUUUUUAUAUGUAUCUUCUGAGUAAACAAGCAAAUAAAUUAAAACUUUCAACAACGGAUCUCUUGGUUCUGGCAUCGAUGAAGAACGCAGCGAAAUGCGAUAAGUAAUGUGAAUUGCAGAAUUCCGUGAAUCAUCGAAUCUUUGAACGCACAUUGCGCCCGCCAGUAUUCUGGCGGGCAUGCCUGUUCGAGCGUCAUUUCAACCCUCAAGCCCCCGGGCUUGGUGUUGGGGCUCGGCCCGUCCCUAGCGGAUGCGCCGUCCCCGAAAUCUAGUGGCGGUCUCGCUGUAGCCUCCUCUGCGUAGUAGCUAACACCUCGCAAUGGGAACGCGGCGCGGCCACGCCGUUAAGCCCCCCACUUCUGAAGGUUGACCUCGGAUCAGGUAGGAAUACCCGCUGAACUUAAGCAUAUCAAUAAGCGGAGGA